AUUGAACGCUGGCGGAAUGCUUUACACAUGCAAGUCGAACGGCAGCACGGACUUCGGUCUGGUGGCGAGUGGCGAACGGGUGAGUAAUGUAUCGGAACGUGCCCAGUCGUGGGGGAUAACGCAGUGAAAAUUACGCUAAUACCGCAUACGAUCUAUGGAUGAAAGCGGGGGAUCGCCAGACCUCGCGCGACUGGAGCGGCCGAUAACAGAUUAGGUAGUUGGUGGGGUAAAGGCCCACCAAGCCAACGAUCUGUAGCUGGUCUGAGAGGACGACCAGCCACACUGGAACUGAGACACGGUCCAGACUCCUACGGGUGGCAGCAGUGGGGAAUUUUGGACAAUGGGCGAAAGCCUGAUCCAGCCAUUCCGCGUGCAGGAUGAAGGCCCUCGGGUUGUAAACUGCUUUUGUACAGAACGAAAAGGUUUCUACUAAUACUAGGAGCUCAUGACGGUACUGUAAGAAUAAGCACUGGCUAACUACGUGCCAGCAGCCGCCGCCG
rnacentral:rRNA from 1 species